rnacentral:rRNA from 1 species
AUUGAACGCUGGCGGCAUGCCUUACACAUGCAAGUCGAACGGCAGCGGACCUUCGGGUGCCGGCGAGUGGCGAACGGGUGAGUAAUAUAUCGGAACGUACCUUUCAGUGGGUAUAACGUAGCGAAAGUUACGCUAAUACCGCAUAUUCUGUGAGCAGGAAAGCAGGGGAUCGCAAGACCUUGCGCUGAUUGAGCGGCCGAUAUCAGAUUAGCUAGUUGGUGAGGUAAAGGCUCACCAAGGCGACGAUCUGUAGCGGGUCUGAGAGGAUGAUCCGCCACACUGGAACUGAGACACGGUCCAGACUCCUACGGGAGGCAGCAGUGGGGAAUUUUGGACAAUGGGCGCAAGCCUGAUCCAGCCAUGCCGCGUGAGUGAAGAAGGCCUUCGGGUUGUAAAGCUCUUUCGGCCGGGAAGAAAUCGCACAGGUUAAUACCCUGUGUGGAUGACGGUACCGGAAUAAGAAGCACCGGCUAACUACGUG